GACGAACGCUGGCGGCGUGCUUAACACAUGCAAGUCGAACGGAAAGGCCCUGCUUUUGUGGGGUGCUCGAGUGGCGAACGGGUGAGUAACACGUGAGUAACCUGCCCUUGACUUUGGGAUAACUUCAGGAAACUGGGGCUAAUACCGUAUAGGAGCUCCUGCUGCAUGGUGGGGGUUGGAAAGUUUCGGCGGUUGGGGAUGGACUCGCGGCUUAUCAGCUUGUUGGUGGGGUAGUGGCUUACCAAGGCUUUGACUGGUAGCCGGCCUGAGAGGGUGACCGGCCACAUUGGGACUGAGAGACGGCCCAGACUCCUACAGGAGGCAGCAGUGGGGAAUAUUGCACAAUGAGCGGAAGUCUGAUGCAGCAACGCCGCGUGCGGGAUGACGUCUUUCGGGUUGUAAAACGCAUUCGCCUGUGACGAAGCGUUAGUGACGGUAAUGGGUAAAUAAGCACCGGCUAACUACGUG
rnacentral:rRNA from 1 species